UGUGUACUCCCUCCGUUCCAAAAUACUUGACUUCCAUUUAUCCAAAAAUGGAUGUACCUAUAUACUAAAACAUGUCUAGAUACAUAUAUAUUUUGACAAAUAGAAGGCAUGUAUUGUGCAACGGAGGGAGUAGAAU
rfam:Triticum aestivum genome assembly, contig: Triticum_aestivum_CS42_TGACv1_scaffold_501205_6BL